rnacentral:rRNA from 1 species
GAAUUUUCCGCAAUGGGCGAAAGCCUGACGGAGCAAUCUCGCGUGAGGGAUGACUGCCUAUGGGUUGUAAACCUCUUUUUUCAGGGAGGAAUAAAUGACGUGUACCUGAAGAAUAAGCAUCGGCUAACUCCGUGCCAGCAGCCGCGGUAAGACGGAGGAUGCAAGUGUUAUCCGGAAUCACUGGGCGUAAAGCGUCUGUAGGUGGUUUAAUAAGUCAACUGUUAAAUCUUGAGGCUCAACUUUAAAAUCGCAGUCGAAACUAUUAGACUAGAGUAUAGUAGGGGUAAAGGGAAUUUCCAGUGGAGCGGUGAAAUGCGUAGAGAUUGGAAAGAACACCGAUGGCGAAGGCACUUUACUGGGCUAUUACUAACACUCAGAGACGAAAGCUAGGGUAGCAAAUGGGAUUAGAUACCCCAGUAGUC